rnacentral:rRNA from 1 species
CGAGACCGCGGACGGCUCAUUAAAUCAGUCGUGGUCCAUAUGGGCCAGUGUUGAUCUUACUUGGACAACUGUGGUAAUUCCAGAGCUAAUACAUGCAACUCUUAUCCUGAAGGAACGCUUUAUUGUUGUUCUCUGACGGAUGCUUUUAUUAGACCAAACUGCUGGGUGCGUGGUGUAUCACUUAUGUGUUCCCACGUUCGACUCGUGUGAUGGUGACUCUGAAUAACAUUUUUUUUGACAAGCGCAAGUACCCCUCUUAUGAGUUGGGACGGCGCUACCACUUUCGAGUGUCUGACUUAUCAGCUAUCAACCGUUCGUUAUGUGCGACCGAUGGCGUUGACGGGUAACGGGGAAUCAGAGUUCGAUUCCGGAGAGGCAGCCUGAGAGACGGCUACCACGUCCAAGGACGGCAGCAGGCACGCAAAUUACCCAAUCCCAGCACCUGGGGGAGGUAGUGACGAAAUCUAACGAUGCGGGCGCCCUUUCUGGGGCCCCGCAAUCGGAAUGGCCACUUUCUAAAAAACCUGUUGAGAACCUAUUGAAGGGCAAGUCUGGUGCCAGCAGCCGCGGUAAUUCCAGCUUCAAUAGCAUCUAUUAAAGUUGCUGCGGUUAAAAGGCUCGCAGUUGAAUGUCAGUACCGAGCGCAGGUCAGGUGGACGCUGGGGCGUGGGAACACAAGGCGUGUCGCUAAUCUUCAUCUCAUGCGCGUUCUGUGGUUUGCGCUGGUCGUGUGUCGUCUUCGGUCGAGCGCGCUGGUGUGGGCCCUUAGCGUUUGUGUGUGUUUGCGGGUUGCGUUCGCGUCUCUCACAAGCCCCCGUCCGUGACAAGCCUCCUCGCUUGUGUACAUAUCUGGAAUCGGCACAUACAAUGGAGUGUGCACGUGCAGUUCUGCUCAUCUUUCCCUCUGCUUGUUGUUCUACACAUGUGCGUGGUGUGUCACUAACGUGCGCGUCGCGUGUGUGUCCCUGGGUUUCGAGUAUUGGAUCGCUCUGAGUUUGUGGCUCGCACGGGUACGUCAAAAGCUCCUUCGGUUUUAAAGUCACCUUGAGUAAAUCAGAGUGCUCAAAGCAGUCGUGAGGGCCUUGUGCCCUGUGAACAGUCUUGACGGACUGACUUGGUUUUGCAUGGCAUGUCGGAAGACGACGUCGUGUGCUGGCUCAGAGAUAUAAUCAGUGGUGCAAGCCAGCCUUGACGUACUGAUCAAGAGGAUCGGUCGAGGGCAUUGGUAUUGCGGGGCGAGAGGUGAAAUUCUAUGACCCCCGCAAGACCUCCUGAAGCGAAAGCGUCUGCCAAGGACGUUCUCACUAAUCAUGAACGAAAGUUAGAGGAUCGAAGGCGAUCAGAUACCGCCCUAGUUCUAACCGUAAACGAUGCCAACCAUCAAUCCGCGCGUAGCACCCUUCUUAACGGGCUCGGCGGGCAGCUCCCCACUCACGGGAAACCAGAGUCUCUGGGUUCCGGGGGGAGUCUGGUUGCAAAGCUGAAACUUAAAGGAAUUGACGGAAAGGCACCACCAGGCGUGGAGCCUGCGGCUUAAUUUGACUCAACACGGGCCAUCUCACCAGGCCAGCACUCUUGUACGAUUGACAGAUUGAGAGCUCUUUCUCGAUUCAGUGGAUGGUGGUGCAUGGCCGUUCUUAGUUGGUGGAGUGAUCUGUCUGGUUAAUUCCGAUAACGAACGAGACUCUCCCCUGCUAACUAGUCGGUUGGAUCUUGUUCGGUGAGUCGUGUGCCGGGAACACCCGUGGGGUGGCGGCAGGUGUUGGGUGGUGGCAGUUUUUGGUUGGAAGCGCGCACGGGGUUCUUGUGUUUGUGGUUUACGCUGCAAGCGCUCCUCCGUGUUUAAUGCGUCUCUCCUUCCUUGGCUGUUGUUAUCUGCCCUGUUUAGUCUAUCUCUCGCGGGCCUCGGGCCACACACUCCAAGUCCGCCGCUUAUGCUAUAACUCUUCUUAGAGGGAUUCACGGUACUGAAGCCGUAAGAAACUGAGAGCAAUAACAGGUCUGUGAUGCCCUUAGAUGCUCUGGGCCGCACGCGCGCUACAAUGCCGGGCACAGCAGGUAGUUCUCCUGCUCCGACAGGAGCGGGUAACCCUCUGAAAGCCCUUGGUUUUGUCGUGUCUCGCUCACAUUCUCACCUCGUGUGGGUGUGUUGUGGGAUGCGAACGGCGUGAUGGGGCCUGGGACUUGCAAUUUUUUCCCACAAACGAGGAAUGCCUAGUAGCGGCGGGUCACUGAGCCCACCGUGACUCAGUCCCUGCCCUUUGUACACACCGCCCGUCGCUACUACCGAUUGGGUGUACCAGUGAGAGCCUUGGACUGGCGUCCGUUGUUGCCUUCGG